rnacentral:rRNA from 1 species
GGGUCAGUAGGUUGGUCGUGCCACCGGUACGUACUGGUCUCACUGAUUCCUCCUUCCUGAAGAACCGUAAUGCCAUUAAUUUGGUGUUGCGGGGAAACAGGACUGUUACUUUGAAAAAAUUAGAGUGUUUAAAGCAAGCUAACGCUUGAAUACAUUAGCAUGGAAUAAUGAAAUAGGACGAUUGAUCCUCUUUUGUUGGUUUCUAGGAUUGACGUA